GUGCUCCCUUCGGCAGCACAUAUACUAAAACUAGAACAAUGCAGAGAGGAUUAACACGACCCCUGCACAAGGAUGACAUGCAAAUUCAUUAAGUGUUCCAUAUAUUU